AUGCAGGGUGUUCACACCCAAGUCCCACGCAGUCCUGAGCAGGAUGCAGUGGCUGAAGGAGUGCCAGGGCAACCUCAACUCCCUUCCCAGAACCCGGGUCGGGAGGGGCGAGAUCUAGAAAGCGGGUCUCCCCGACCCCGGCCUGCCCCUGCGUCGCCAAGGUCUGUUUCCCCAGCCCUGAGGAGUCCCCGGGUGCCAGGCAGGCGCUGCUCCCUGCGGCCACACGGUGGCGGCACAGAGCCGAGCUCCCCAUACCUGGGAGGCGCUGGAGAGGCAGCGCCCCAUCAGUUGGGCCUCCCGGGCCCCGAUCCCCACCUCAGCCAGCACAGGUCUUGGCAUCCCUGCCUUUGCGAGGGAGGACUUUGGCUGAGGCGGACUUUGAGGGCUGAAGACACGGUGCGGCUGUUGCCCCCCGCUCCCCACCGAGUCGCGGGCUGGAGCGGAGUCCGCAGGACUGUGGUGCGGCGUCCUGGAGUCCUCGGCUUGCGGCCAGGCUUGGGCCUGAGAAACACGCCGGGAAACCCUGCCCAUUUGCCCCCCCCCCUAAAUGUUUUAUAUAAAAGAAAUUCAUGCGUCUUAUUAAAAAAUUAAACCUUACGAAAAUACAGAUUUAAGAAAAUGAAAAGCCCUCAUCUCCACUGCUGAGAUGUUGAGUAUCCUUACACCUUUUCUGUUUAUUUACAUCCUUAACGUAUAAAAAUAUACAUAAAGGAAGGGCUCAUGCUGCCCAUACAGUUUUGCAACUUGCUCUUCUAUGGACAAUUUUUUUUCCCAUGUCAUUAUACGGACAUUUUUAAUGAGUUCAUAGUAUUUCAGAAUAUGGGUAUCCCAUAAUUCAGUUAGCCCUCUAAUGAUAAACAUUCAGUUUAUGCCUAUUUUUAGAAUAAUCUUUGUGUUAUUUCAAAUUACAAAUAUUUGCUCCUUGUAAAAACUUUUAUUUAAAAACAUUUUUAGGGCAGCCGGGGUGGCUCAGCAGUUUAGUGUUCAGGCUCCCUACAUGGAGCCUGCUUUGCCCUCUGCCUGUGUCUCUGCCUCCCUCUCUCUGUGUCUCUAUGAAUAAAUAAAUAAAAUCUUUUAAAAAAAACA
rnacentral:lncRNA from 12 species